rnacentral:lncRNA from 1 species
UUUUUUUUAAUAGGCGAGUGAUUUUACUGUUUUUUUUAAGUUGUAUUUAAAUAAAUAAAUAAAACAAAAUUUCAAAUUCUCUUAUAGAGUUAAAAAUUUUCUAUCAUCUGUGUAUCAAAUAAUUAUCCAGAAUAUAUUAAUACUAAUAUAAAAAUAGUUUAAUAUUUGACAUAUUGUUGAUUAAAAUUAUAAUGUGAUUUUCGUUGGAAGUUAAAUUUAUUUUGGAUUUAUUUAAUACUUAAUUUUAACUCGAUUGACAUAGGUAUUGUUGUCAAUACUAGAGGACAUAGGUUUCAGUGUUCCUAUUUAUAUUUGGGAGGGUAGUUUUCUUUUUCUAAUAUUAUUAUUAUAGAUUCUAAUCAUAUUUAUUCUUUUUGAUACAAUCUCUAGAAUUAAUUAUAAAUUCUUCCCAACUUUUAAAUAAAAGAAAACAGACAAUAAUAUUCAUGUCAAUUAAGUUAAUAUAUACUUUUUAGCCUAAUAGAUUGUACCAUAUAUAUUAAAACCAUAUGGACAUAAAAUUGGAACUGCUAAAAUGUGUAAAAGCAUAUAUGCAAAAAUAGUAGCCAAUAUGACCAAUUCAAAGGAAUCUAAUUUACAAGGUUUUAAGACUGAAGACCAGGGAACUUAUCUAUAGUCUUGGUUUCUUAUUUUUCAAAGAUCAAAUUAUAUGAUAGAAAUUUUCUUGGAAAAAAAUGUUGUUUGGUAGCAAUGCCACUGGAAUUUCCAAGCAAAACCUAGUCCACAAAAAAGGAGGUCAAGGAAAGAACUCAUAAAUUUUUAAAAUUUAAUUUUUUUCACUUACUAAAAGAUUAAUAUUAAACUCGAUACAAAGCACAAUUAACUGAAAACUCAAAUAAAUUACUUGUAUAUAACAAGAUUCGACUAUGAACAUUCAAAAUCUUAAGAUUUCAAUUAUCACUGAUACUACUAAAACAUCUAUCAGACUUUAAUUUUCGAAUCAAAAGUAAAAUUAAUUUUCAAUAUACAUCAAUCAAUGAUGACUUUAUUGUGAUUAACCGUGUGGGUUCCACCAUGAAAGAAAAAGACCCCAAAAGUCUCAUUCCAUCAUAUUUUUCUAGCAAAUGCUUCCAAGUAUUGCAAGACUUUUCUCUCUCCCCCCACACAUAGCUUCUGGUGCUGCUGAUAUUUACUUGGUCUUUUCCCUCUUGUUCAAAACAUUUAUAAAUAACCAAGUGUGUUAAUCUACCAAACAUUGUGUCUUUUGAAUGCAAUAAACAUUUCUUACACUCUCUUGCAUCUUAUAUUCACUUAAUAUACGUACACAAAUAAGCAGCAACAGCCUACAGCUACAAUGAGUAGCCUAUCCAGUAUGGAUGAUAAUGCUACCCCGAAGAUCGAACUUCCAGGCUUCCGAUUCCAUCCCACCGAGGAAGAACUGCUCGAAUUUUACCUCAAAAACAUGAUCUACGACAAGAAGUUACGUUAUGACAUUAUUGGAUACCGUAACAUCUAUCAUCAUGAUCCUUGGGACUUGCCUGGUACGUGGAUAUAUACACAUAUAUGGUUUAAUAUGAUGGUUUUAAGUAAUGUUAAGCAAAUUUAUAAGGUUGGAAUUUUUAUUUUUUUUAUAAUAGGGUUGUCGAAGAUUGGAGAGAGAGAAUGGUAUUUUUUUGUUCCAAGAGAUAGGAAGCAUGGAAGUGGUGGGAGGCCUAAUAGGACUACGGCAAAUGGGUUCUGGAAAGCCACCGGUUCCGACCGGAAAAUCGUGAGCUUAUCGGACCUGAAGCGCAUUAUCGGCUUGAAAAAGACUCUUGUUUUCUAUAAAGGGAGAGCUCCACGAGGGUGCAAGACCGAUUGGGUGAUGAACGAGUAUCGUCUCCCGGAUGGUUGCUCCUUGCCUAAGGUAUUUAAUCUUUCUUCAUGCACAUACAUGUUUGCAGUUUAACCACAUGUUUUAAACAUGCGAAGGAACUUAAUCAUCUUCGUUGAAAUGUUUAUAAGUUUAGGACCAAUUUAAAAUCUGAACCAUAGUUUUAGGACCCUAAGUGCAAUUAAUCCAAAACUAAUAUGACUUGAACAUUUUUUAAUGUGAACACUCUGGUAUUAUGAUUUAUAAUGGGUCCCAAACUUUUGGGACAAAGAUAUAAAAGAAAGUUGUAAUCAAUGCUAAUGUCAUUGUAUGAUUGAAUGGCAGGAGAUAGUAUUGUGCAAAGUAUAUAGGAAAGCAACUUCCCUGAAAGUUCUUGAACAAAGAGCUGCAAUGGAGGAAGAGUUGAAAGCAAUAAAGAACACAUCUCCUUCAUCUCCACUAUCAUCUAUGGAAACAGUAUCCUUUAGCAGCCCAAAAGAGGCUCAAGUGCCAGCACCGCAAAUGUUCUUUAAGAAAGAAAAUGAAGAAGAACAAGAACAAGAAACAAUGGUGGAAAAGAAAAGAUGUUUACAAUUACCAUUAGAUAGUGAAAAACUACCAGAGCUUCAAAUGCCCAAAGUGCUAAGUGAUUGGACCCAAGAUCAGUUUUGGACUCAACUGAACAGCCCUUGGUUCCAAAAUCUCACAACCUAUGCCAACAUCUUGAAUUUCUAAGUAAAAGCUUAAUUAAUUAUCACCUCAGCUCGAAUAGGAUUAAUCGUGAACUGUAAAACAGGUCAACAAGGCAUCUUAUUUCAUUGGUAUUAAUUAGUUUAGACCCUGAUGUUGUGUAUAUAAGCUUAUCUCCUACUGUUUUAGUUUAGUUCCUUCCUACUAGCCUCGAAGAUGACCAAACUUUUUUAGAGCUACAAGCUUUGGAAGCCUUUGCUUGUUUUGUUGAUGAUAUUUUUUUCAUAAAUGUUUACUACGUGAUUAAUUUGUUUGAUGUAACUUUGGAGUUUUAUUUUAAUGAAAAUUUUGAAAUUUGGUGAAAAAAUGGUAUUGAAUGUAUUUAAAAGCUCCCUCUAUUAUAGGAAUUUAAUCAAAUUAGUCCUUCUACUAUUAAAAAAAAAUCAAAUAAGUUCAAAUUAGAAUAGAGUUAAUAUUUAUUGUUUAAAGAGUAUUAUUUAAUGUUUAACAAAGUUAAUAUUUUUAAGCUUUUUAUGGUUCUGUAAAUAAAAUCUUUUGUUUAGAAUUGAACUAUAAUUAAAAAAGUAAUAACUUUCAAGACAAUUUUUAUACAAUGAAUGUUAACUCUACUAAAAUAUGGACUUUUUAUUAUUAUUUUUAGUAAUAUAGAGACUAAAUUGAUCAAUUUAGAAAGAUUAAUUUGAUUCAAUCCCUAUAAUUCAAGGACUUCUUAGACAUUUUAACCAAAAAUUGAAGGCAGAGAGUGGUGCUAUCUAUUAAGUGUAUAGUCAGGCGCCCCUAAAAUGAAAAAAAAAAUCUCAUUUAAGUUCUUUAAAUUUUUUUAAAUUUUUAAAUUAAUAAAUAGAAAAUUAUACUUUAACCCCCUAAAAUUAUAAAAAAUUAAUUUAAUCAUUUAAAAUUCAUAAGAAUGUAGACUAUAAAAAAAAUUAAAAUUUCAUUCUGCCCCAUGUAGAAAUUUCUUUGGUAGAGUUUAAUUUAACCUAACCAUGAUAUUUAUAAAUAUUAAUGUCAUUAUCAUUUUAGCUAACAAUUAUUGUUUCUAAAGUCUACAAACAUUAAUAUUCCGAGGGUAAAAUGCAUAUUUGAUUAUAUAAAUUAGAUGAUAAACACAACAUCAUCGAAUCGACUUAAUGGUGGCCGAAAUUUUUCUGGUUGUAGCAGUCAAUACAGUCACCGUAACUAACUCCGAACAUGUCACAAUACCUUUUAUAAAACCCGAUGAGGUCCUCUCCCGCUGCGUUCCAACCCCGACCGCAUAAACCGCCAUUGACGAUAUUUGUGAUCACUCCAUACCCUGGAAGCCUACCGGCCGCCACGUCCCUAUCUGAAGGCGUCCACGCUCCAGUGAUCACAUCGUGGCAAGAAGGCUUUAACCCUUGCGGAGUCAUCCAGAACCACAAUGCAGAUUGGAAACACAAUGUGGCAUCGCUUACUAUCAGGUCUGGGUUUUCUAACAACUCCUUUUCCAUCCCAAUGGUUGCUCCAAAUUGACCAUAGUUGUAGUUCCUUAAUUAUCAAAUUUUGUUUCAUUAUUUCAAUGUCAAUAAAAGAAACACAAUUGUCGAGAUAUAAAAAUUCAAUAAAAUUGACAUGAAAUUAAUGUGGAUUACCGUUCGGACAACCAUGUUCUAGUCAAUAUUUCUAUUUUUAACAAGCAAUUAUAGAAAUAGUUACCAAGUAAGUUGUAUGGGGCCUCGACCAUAAUAUUUCUGACCAGGAACACAUGGGUACUCUUUGCAUGUCUUGUCCAAAUAAUCUGAAGGAGGGUUUAUUUGCUUAGUAAAGCAGUAUCCCCAUACAUACGGACCACCGGGUGCAUUCCACCCUACUCCUCCUAAAAUCAUUAAAUUAAUCACUAGUUGUGUAUACAUUUUAACCACAUUUAAUUACACUAAAUUAAAAAUUAAAUUUUAUGUAUUAAAGUGGAUGAAAUUUAUCCCCUAAAAAUAUGCUCAAACUUUGUACUGAUUAUAAGAAAAAGGAACAAACCAGAAGUUUCAUGUGAAGUUUGGCCGAAGAAAGCAGCAACUUCCCUCUUGCGAGUAGCAUCAUCGCCGGUUGCAGCAAAAGCAGGAUAAGCCUUUGCAGCUUCCAUUAAAGCAUCAUAGGUGUAGAACCCAGCGGCAGGGCAACGAGGAUCGUUUCUAUACGGAAGCAUCUCUUCAAACACUUCUCUUGUUACAAUGCUGCUCAGUCCACCUCCACAGUCGCUUCCGCCGCCGCAACCACAACCGGAGUUGCCUUUGUUGCAGUUGCUUCGGAAACUAAUUUUUUUGAGGCGCUGAUAAUUAUUGGAGCCACGGCAACCCAACUGGGCUCUUGGAAAAAUGGCAGUGCCACCGCCAGGUUGCUUUUCACACUGCGGAGUUGAGCCUGGGAAUACAUUAGAGCAAAAUGAUAAGGCUGGAGCUCUCAUUUUUUGUGAAAAAUGUAAGUGGGUUUCUCUCACUUGUGUUAGUGAAGAAAGGGCAACAGUAUGAUAAAUAUAUAUAUCAGAUUCUCAUCUACCAAAGUUAAUAAUGUGGUCUGCCAUGGCUGUUCAAGUUUUUGGCUUUUUGCGCUUUGAUUCAACCUUGGGACCCACCAUUAAAAGUGCUAGCUCAGAUGAACGGCUAUUUUUCUCCGUAAAUUCCAAAGCAAUAAUAGUUAUCUAAGUUACUAAACUGCUAAUAAACUUACUUUUUAAUUAUUUAAUUUUAAAAAAUUAUAAAAUAAUUAUUGAAUUACUAAAAAAAUUUAUUUAAGUUAAUAUUUGUAACUUUAAAAAAUUACAAAUUAAAUUAUUUAAAAAAAUUUAUUUAUAAAAUUAAACCGCUAUGCUCUUUUAAAAUUCGUCUCGCAAGUUCUGACUGACGAUUCGACGAUUUUUAUGGUGAAUCAGUACUCAUACAAGUUUUAAAAUUUAUCGACAUUAAUUUAUUUAUUGGUAUGAUAAAAGCUAAUUGAGAAAUUCAAGAUAAAAAGUACAUAUAUGGGAAUCUAGUUAACACGUGGGCAGGCUGUCGCUAAUUCAAGAUUUUUGUUUAAAUCUAAAUAUUUGUUGUUAAUUAUUUUUUAUAUCUAAAAUUUUGUCUGGAUAUUCUCUACAUAUGAAUUUUUUUUAUUUUUAAAUUCAAUAAUAUUCUGAUGAAAUUUGAACUUGUAUAUAUGUAUUUCAAUUUUUUUAUUUUAUUAUUUUAAUCAAAAUAUCAUUUAAUUUUUAUAUAAAUUUAUUACUAUAUUUGUUACAUACAUUUUCUUCCACCUAUGAAGCUUAUAGCUUCUCUCAAAAGAUGAGUGAAAUCCCCAAAAAUAAAUUUGGGGAUUCUCUCGUGGAAAAUGAUAUAGAAGAACUUGGAUAGGAGACCCCUUUCUCGACCCUUUUAGAGAAUGUUCAAUUAGGGUUAAUAUUUGAUUAAAUUAAGUAAAAAAUUUUGAGUUAAUUGAGUUAUUAAAUCUUAUUUUACUAUCUCAAUUUGAUUUGGAAUAUUUUUUAAUAGAGUCAAGUGGAAUAAAAUUCAAGUCGAGUUGAAUAGAAUCAAGUGAAAUUGUUCGAGUUAAAUUAAAAAAUUAAAUAUAUCAAAUUAAAAUCUUGUUACUGUAUAAAUAAUUUCAUGUUAGAGCACGUAAAUUUGAAACCAUAUAUGUUUGAUAACUUUUUCAAAGCAAAAUAAGAAAAAAAAAUAUUCAUAAACUUGAAUCGUUAAUUAUUAUUAUUUUUCUAAUUUUUCUAAUUUUUUAAAAAAUAUAAUUUUUUAUAGUUUUUUGAAUUUUUGAAAAAUGUUUUUUAUUUUUGUAAUUUUUGAUAAGAUAGAGAUUAAUUUGCUCAUUUUCAAAAUUGACAAUAACUAAAAGAGUAUUUGCAUCAAUAUGUUAUUUUAAUUAUUUAAGUUAUUUAAAUUGUAAAAAUUAACUCGAAAUUUAAUUUUUUUUUAAUUAUUUCAAAUCGAAUCGAAUUUUACUCACUUGGCUAAAGAUUUUUUUCAGACUUAUGUAAUAAUUUCCUAGUAAAAUGAUUAUAGGGUAUAAAAUAUAUUUAUGUAUUAACAAUUUUAUUUUAAUUAAGCUAAAAAUCGAGCUUCAUUUACAAACGGAAAAUGGUCUACUAGUCAUGUGGGUGAAAUUAAUAAAUUAUUAAUUAUUUACAUAAGGUAUAAAAUUCAAAAUGAAAUAAUUAGGAGUAGGAUACUUUAUAAUUUUGAUUUGAAUUCCACUUGACAAUUUAAAUUUUAAUCCGAUCUAAUCCCUUUUCAUCAUAGAAACUCAAUAAUUUAAAUUAAAAAAAUAUAACCCUCAUAAAAAAUAAUACAAACAUGAUUUAAUUACGAUUAUAUGUAGGAAAGUGGGGUUUGUUCGGGUUGAGGAUCUUGGAAUGUGUCUUGGUGUGCCUCUCAUUCAUAAAAAAGUUGGUGUAAGCACUUUUGAAUUUUUGGUUAAUAAAGUCCGUAACAGACUGAAUGUUGGGAAACGAAUAAAUUGUCUUUGGCUAGCAGAGUAACAACUGUGUUGCCUCAUUUGAUUUAUGCGGGACCAGAUAAGCUAUUAUGGAGAUGGGCAACAGGAUAAUUUUUCAUCGACAGAUACUUAUAGAGGCAUUCACCAACUUGGCUCGGUGAAUAAUUCUAGUGCUAGGAAUUUGAUUUGGAAAAUCAAGGUGUCUCUAAAGGUUGAGUUGUUCAUUUAGAUCAUGUCGAAGAAUAGAUUAUAUUGACUAAUAGAGUGAAAGGAGACAUAUGGCGAAUGAAAGCCAUUGUUCAAGAUGUAGCAAUGUAUAUAAACCGAGGAUCCAUGUUGUUUGGGAUUGCACCUUUUCUAGGACUGUUUGGUGGUCAAUUGUGCCAACUCAUUCUCAAGUAAGAUUUUUUUUUCCUCUGCCACUAGAUCAAUGGAUUUUAUGGAACAUGCAAAACAUUGAAGAUAUUGAUAGUUAAGAGAUAGAAUGGUGAUUUUUUUUUCUAUAAUGUGCUCGCUGCUAUGAAAAAUUAGAAUAUAUAUGUGUGUGUUUUCUAGUAGUCACAGUUGUACCUAAGAAAUCAUGGAUAUUGGUGUUAGUUGGACGAGGAGUUACGUAAGGAUGCUAGCACCUGUGUUACAUGUUAAUCCUAUGGUUAUUGCUAUAGUAGUCAGCUCUGAAAUAGAGGUUGGAGUAAGCUUAAUACAAAUGGAGCAGUGUCGUUAAAUGAAUCUUAUUUUACAAAAAAAUACAAACAUGAAUCGAUAAUUAUCUAAAUAAAUAAUUCAAAAUAGUUUAUACUCAAAACUUCAAAAUUGCAAAAACAAAAAACAGAACACACAAAUAACUUAAAACCCAAUCUUCAUUCAACCUCAAAAUCUUAGAAUUUUAGAACAUAAACUGAUUCAAUUCAAUUUAAACUAAAUUCAAACAAAUGAAAGUUGCAUUUAUUGAGACGGGAUUUUCUAUGAACAUGCAAAAAUUUUGAAUUCAACUUCCAAGGCAAAAGAAAAACUUCUAGUUAUUAUAGAAAGUGUCAACCCAACCCCAUGUGAUGGUUUCAUAAUAAAAAAUAUUUAUUCCAUAUAUUAAAUUUUUUUUAUAAGUCUUCCGUAAAUUAGAUAAUAAUAAUAACACAUCAUUUAAUAUAAAGAAUCCUUUCUAAAAUCCUUCUGAUUGUAGCAAUCAAGAUAGUCGCCGUAAUUAACUCCAAACAUGUCGCAUUCCGACCCCGACCGCAUUGACCUCCAUUGAUGAUAUUCGUGAUCACUCCAUACCCUGGAAACCGACCUGCCUCCUUGUCCCUAGCUGAAGGCAUCCAUGCUCCGACGAUCACAUCGUGGCAAGAAGGCAUUGACCUUUGUGGAGUCAUCCAAAACCAUAAUGCAGAUUGGAAGGCCAAUAAGGCAUCGGUUAAUAACAGAUCUGGGUUCUCUAACAUCUCCUUUUCCUUCCCAAUGGCUGCUCCAAAUUGACCAUAGUUGUAGUUCCUUAAAUUAUCAAAUUUUGUUUCAUUAUUUCAACGUCAACAAAAAAUAAAAUUGUUACAUCAAUAAUUAAAGCUCUUGUUUAGUAUUCAAAUGAUACGGAUUUAAAAUUUGCGUAUAUUAUAAUAAUAAAAACAAAAGGAUCAACUACACUCAAUGAAAAGUAAACUAUUAAUAAAUUUAAGUUUUGAUCAUUCAAUUAAAUAUUGUUAAUUUAAAAAAAUAGACUAAUAUUCAUCAAUAAAUAAAAUAAUAUAUUUUAAACCUAAGUCGAUCUACGGUCAAUGUCAGAUAUCAAAAAAUUUUUUUUACAAAUAGUGUGAAUAAAAAAGACUAUGUAGUAGAGAUUUAACGGUCUAAUAAUUUAAGUAAAAAAUUUUAAAUAAUUUAAUAACUAUUAUAUAAAUUUUUAAAUUUAAAAUAAUUAAAAUAUAAAUUUAUUAACAAUUUAGUAAUUUUAUGCAUAGUUUUCCAGAUCAAAACCAAGUGGAAUGUGACGUGUAGUUUACCAAGUAAGUUGUAUGGGGCCUCGACCAUAGUAUUUUUGACCAGGAACACAUGGGAAUUGUUGGUUUGUCCCAUCGCAAUAUUCUGAAAGAGGCUUUACUUCUUUAUUAUAGCAGUAUCCCCAUACAAAUGGACCGCCUGGUGGGUUCCUCCCUCGUCCAGCUAAAAAUCAUUAAGUUAAUCGUUAAAGUAAUAUUUGAAUUCAAAAAUCCAACUUGAUAAAACUAAAAUUUGAUUUAAUUGGAUCUGUCAGAGGGUAGGUCAGUUAAAUUUAAAAUAAUUAAGAAUCUGAAAAAUGGGACAAACCAGCAGUUUCAUGUGAUGUUUGGCCGAAGAAAGCAGCAACUUCCCUCUUGCGAGUAGCAUCAUCGCCGGUUGCAGCAAAAGCAGGGUAAGCCUUUGCUGCUGCCAUUAAAGCUUCAUAGGUAUAGAACCCAGCGGCAGGGCAACGAGGAUCGGGAGCAUCUCUUCAAACACUUCUCUUGUUACAAUGCUGCUCAGUCCACCUCCACCGUCACUUCCGCCGCCGCAACAGCAACCACAACCGGCGUCGCCUUUGUUGCAGUUGCUUCGGAAACCAAUUUUCUUGUGGCGGUAAUAAUCAUUAUUGGCGCCACGGCAACACCAUUGGGCUGUUGGAAACAUGGCAGUGGCACUACAAGGUUGCUUUUCACACUGCAUAGCUGAGCCUGGGAGUGCAUUAGAGCAAAAUGACAAGGCUGGAGCUCUCAUUUUUUUGUAAAAUAUAAGUGGGUUUCUCUCAAUUGUGUGAGUAAAGAAGGGCAAGACUAGGGAACUGUAUAAAUAUAACUACAAUUACUACCCUUUUUCCUAGAUUCUUCUUAAUUUUUAAGGGUAAAUUACAAAAAUAUCACCUAGCUAUUAUUUCUUUAGAUUUAGUCAGUAAACUUUUCAAAACUAAAUAUUUUAGUCACUAUUCGGUUAGUUACCAUUAGAUGAUAGAAAAAAAAUUACAUGGGCUUUUUUUAUUAAUCUAAUAACAAUUUUAUCCCUUUAAUGCUUAUUCAUUCUAUCAAUUUGAUCCUAAAUAUAAAAAAUUUACCAAAUUUAGUUCUUAAAUUUUACAAAAUUUGUCAUUUUAGUUCGAAUUAUAAAAAAUUCAAUAAAUUAAGCCCUCAACAUUUAUAAAAAUUUUCACUUUAGUUCUAGUUCUAAGAUUUCAAAUAAAAAUAAAAAUAUUCACUUUUUUAAAUUUUAAACUAAAAUGAUAAGUUUUGUAAUCAUUGAGGGUCAAAUUUGUUGAUUUUUUUUUAUCUUUAGGAUAAAAUUAAUAGAAUGGGUAAAUAUUGAAGGGUUAGAUUUGAUAUUAGAUGUCGAAACCAUUCUUUAAAAAAAAACGGGAAUCGACUUGGUUUGAAAGCGAAGAUUAAAAAGGGAGGCGCCACUAAUCUUUUAUUAGGUGUGAUCGGAUCACCUUUGUUUUAAUAAAUCAUUUUAGUUCACUAAAACGAUAUUUUUGGUCUACGAAACUUGAGAGAACGGGUUCGGGAGUCAGUUACGUGCGAGGAAGGAUUAGCACCCUCGACAUGCCCAAAAAUUGGUACCAAAUUGAUUAGUUAGUGUCUUAAUAUCGAAAAUGGAAAAUCGAGAAUGAAUUUGAAAUACGAUCUUUUCUAUUAAUAUUGAUUUUAAAAUUUUUGAAUUAGCUUGAAUCGAUUGUUUAAAGAUUUCCUUAUUCUCAAGAUAUCAGAGUAUCACAUCCCGUAAGUUAGGACACAAUACCAUGAAUUCCCGAGCACAAGGUCGUCUUUUAAUUUAAAUGAGAAUUUCAUGUGUUUUAAAACUCGAAAAGGAUAUUUAACUAUUUAGAAACAACGAGAAAAUCGAAACCCCGUAAGUUAGGGCACAAUUCCUCGAUAUUUCAAAAUGCAAAACAUUGCCUUAUUUGGAAAAUUUCAUUUUCGAAUAGUAACGAAUAUAAUAUUUAAACGGCGUGUAUUAUUUAUUUAGGUUAAAAUAAAACGAUUUAUUAGAUGAAAAUAUUGAGAUUUAAUUUGUAAAGCAAUGAUACGAAACACGAUAUAAUAAUAAAUAUAAGCAAUAAUACAUGACUAACACCACGUAAAUAUAUGACGAUAAUGUGAAAAUAUAAGCGAACGUAUUGUGGUACAUACAAUGAGGAUAAUGAUUCAACAUACAUUAUUUACAUGCUAGAAUUAGCUAUGGAAGAUCAAUAAGGACAUAUAUAACAAUUUAAAAAGUAUGGAACCAAUCAAAAUAAAUAAAAUGUAUGAACCAUUUGAAAAAGAUAGCAAAUAAGCUUAAAAAUAAAUAAUAGUAAAAAAAAUAAAAUUUUUAAAAUCAAUAAUGCAUAAAACAUUUUUUUUUAAAAUAUAUAUACAUAAAUUUUAUAACAAAUAAUAUAGACAUAAGUACAUAAAGUUUAAAAAUGGGUAAUACAAAAAACUUAUAAUAAAUAAUACAUAGAAUACUAAAAAUAAAUAAAUAGAAUAAAAAAAUAAAAAAAAAAGUUUAAGAUAAUUAAAUAAUUUUAAAUAAAUAGUGCAUGAAACGAUUUAAAAUAAAAAUGGUACCUUAGAGUAAAAACGUAACAAUUUAUAAUAACUAAUAUGAAUAAAGAUCUUAAUGUAAGGCAAAAUAGUAUGAAAGACCCAAAACAGAUCAAUAAAAAGGUUUAAAACAUCAUGCGAAAGAUUUAAGAAUGAAUGUGCAAAAUAAUGGAAUAUAAAAACAACAAACAGUCUAAUAAAAAAUGAAAAUAAAAUAUGUAGCAUAUGCAUGCAUUAAAAUAAUAUGUGUAAAAAACCUAAAAUAAAUAAAUAUAAAACAGCUUUUAAAAUAAAAAAGACAAAUACACAAAUACAGUAUAAAGUUUGAAACUAAAUAAAAUAAUAUCUAAAUAAAUUGCAAAUGGGGCAUAUAAUAAAAUAUAAUGAAACAGUUUGAAAUAAAAGAAGAAAUGAUUAAAUUAAAAUCAAAAUGAAAGAAAAGGUACAAAUUAUAAUAACAGAUAAGUGUCAUGGACUACAUCAAAAUACAUUCAAAGUUAUGAGGACGAAAUGGGACAUUAUACCACGUAUCAAAUGCGCUGCAUUUCAGCCACUCAGGCCGAGGAUUAAAACAGAAAUGAAAUGAAAUAAGCAGGCGAAUUUUAAAAAAAAAGAAAAUGCAAAAAGGACUUAAUCAAAUGGCGCAGGAAAAGAAUAGGGACCAUGACCGAAAAUAUCCCAUUUUAGCCUGAAAAAAAAAAGCUGCCGUUUCUGUGGCCAUUUAAGCCAUUCUUUUUUCCUUUUCAUUUCAGCUUCUAUUUAAAAAAGGGAAAAAAAGAAAACAGAGGGCCUUUACCCUCUCUCCCUCUCCCUGCUCAUUUCGGCUAGGGUUCUUAGAACCUUCAUCGCCGCCUUCACCGCAGCGCCACCACAGGCGGUGGUUGGGGUGUAAGCCGGGCUUUCAAGCCCCUAUUUAAGGCGAACUCAACAGUGAAAACUUCCUCGACCAAAGAAGAUCCAAAGAAGGAACCCCCUACGACCUCUUCGGGUCGAAUCCGACGACGGAGGAGCGAUCUCCGACGAUGGUCACUUCGAUUCGGGUAAGUCCCCUUUGAUUUUAUACCCUUUUUUAUUUUUUUAGAUUUGUAGUAUAAACAAAAAGAAAUUUAAAGAGAUGAAAGAACGAAAUGAAAACAAAGAAAGAAAAAAAAAUCGGAGAUCAACCUUUAAAAUUUGUUCUGUUCUUUGAUUCAAAUGUGCGUGUAAAAAAAUUACAAAGCUUUGGUUUUUGAUUUUAUAGCCGGAUCCGAGAGCUAUUUUUGUUUGCAUUCAUUUUGUUUUCUUGUCAUUUUUGUUGUUUUCUUUAUUGUUUGUAUUGCUUGCGUGUGGAUCUCUCUUUGCAGGUGUGUCAGAGGCGUGUAAGGCCGGUGGUUGGUGCCCCGAGCGGUGGUGGUGCGCGUGGCAGAGGCUGGUGGCUGAAGGCAUGCGGCUAGGUUGCUGCUUGCUGAAAAAUUUUUAAGAUAGUGGGCCAUUUUGGGCCACUAGGGUUUUUGGUUAUUGGGUUUGGGUAGUUUUGGGCUAGAAUCUGGGUAGUGGGCUGGUAAUUGGGUUUUAAUUAAGUUUAUUGGUUUGGGCCAAAAUUGGCUGCUACAUUAAACUAAUAAAAAAGCCCACGUCAUUUUUCUGUUACAAUUGAUGGGAGAGUAAUUAAAAAUUUUAAUUUCAAAAUUUUUAGUGACUAAAUCAAAAAAUUUAAUAGUUGAGUGCCUAAAAUAGAACCAAAGACAUAGUGUAGUGACUAUUUUUACAAUUUACCCUAAUUUAAUAUCAAAUAUUAAUAUACUUUUUAAACAGAUUAUGUAGGAUGCUUAAAUCAAUAUAUAAGUUUACAAGUAAAUCCACCUUAGAACUACAAAAUUUAAAAUAAA